rnacentral:rRNA from 1 species
AGAGUUUGAUCCUGGCUCAGAGCGAACGCUGGCGGCAGGCCUAACACAUGCAAGUCGAACGGACUCUUCGGAGUUAGUGGCGGACGGGUGAGUAACACGUGGGAACGUGCCUUUAGGUUCGGAAUAAGCCCGGGAAACUGGGUCUAAUACCGAAUGUGCCCUUCGGGGGAAAGAUUUAUCGCCUUUAGAGCGGCCCGCGUCUGAUUAGCUAGUUGGUGGUGUAAUGGACCACCAAGGCGACGAUCAGUAGCUGGUCUGAGAGGAUGACCAGCCACAUUGGGACUGAGACACGGCCCAAACUCCUACGGGAGGCAGCAGUGGGGAAUCUUGCGCAAUGGGCGAAAGCCUGACGCAGCCAUGCCGCGUGGAUGAUGAAGGUCUUAGGAUUGUAAAAUCCUUUCACCGGUGAAGAUAAUGACUGUAGCCGGAGAAGAAGCCCCGGCUAACUUCGUGCCAGCAGCCGCGGUAAUACGAAGGGGGCUAGCGUUGCUCGGAAUUACUGGGCGUAAAGGGAGCGUAGGCGGACAUUUAAGUCAGGGGUGAAAUCCCAGAGCUCAACUCUGGAACUGCCUUUGAUACUGGGUGUCUUGAGUGUGAGAGAGGUAUGUGGAACUCCGAGUGUAGAGGUGAAAUUCGUAGAUAUUCGGAAGAACACCAGUGGCGAAGGCGACAUACUGGCUCAUUACUGACGCUGAGGCUCGAAAGCGUGGGGAGCAAACAGGAUUAGAUACCCUAGUAGUCC